GUUUGACCCCCCGAAACUAGGCGAGCUACUCUUAAACAGCUCACGAGCCAACCCUUCUCCGUAGCAAAGGGGCGGGAAGAUUUAAGAGUAGAGGCGACACACCUACCGAGCCUAGAGAUAGCUGGUUAUUUAGGAAAAGGAUUUAAGUCCACCUCUAAGUUUUUUAGCGCACUCAGACAAAAAUAAACUUGUAAGUCAUUCAAAUAAGGUGCAGCCUAUUUGAAUAAGGAAACAGCCUACAACACAGGGUAAUGCCCCCUUCCUGUGACUAGGUGGGCCUAAAAGCAGCCAACCUUCAAAAAGCGUCCAAGCUUCAUCACUGACCAUAGAUAAUACCAUUAUCAACCCGCAACCCCCAACCACUACUAAAUAACCCCAUACUCGUAUGGGGGAUAUUAUGCUAGAACUAGUAACAAGAAGAAGAACUUCUCCUAAAUAAAAGCUUAAGCCACAACGAACCGUUCACUGGCAAUUACCGCCACUCAAC
rnacentral:rRNA from 1 species